AGCACGCCGGGAGUCGUAGUCCCCAGGCCUGCUCGGGCCCACCUCGUCGGAGACGAGCAGGAACCGCCUCCUCUUCUUUGCAUAUCGGCGAAGUGUAGUUCUCAAGAGCAUUGUGGGGCCGGUUGCUGCCCGAAUCUCUCUAGGGAAUGGGACCGAGUUGGGGACCCAGACUCCCUGGCCUUCAUGGCCACAGUCCUGUCGCCGCCCCACCAAAAGCCAAUCUCUAAGUAUCCCAGAGUCCCGGGGCCAGAGUGGGAUGGGAGUGCGGGAUCGGAAGUUCCAUUUUUCAGAUGGGAAAAGUGAGGCUCAGAGAAAGGAAUCUGGAACGAUGAAGGUGAUGAUUGUGCCUGUGGCCAAGACCGGGAGAACCCUGGAUCCCUACACCUUCCCCACCCCUGGAAUGUCACUAUACAUAUCUGACUUCUUCUGAUGUUGCCUUUGACCCUAAAGUCAAUAUGAUAAAGUAACAAGAAGCUGGGACAGAGGAACAAACACAGCCCACUCAAGCAGUGGUGGCAACAUUCUGUUAGAAAGGAGGGGAGUCAAAGAAAAAAACACCCCUCCGCCCAUCUCCUUAUCACCUCCCUAAAGACAGAGGAGAACAUGGACACCCUCCAUCCUGAUAGACAUGCCAUGUGGUCAGUUUGUGCGGUAAACAGGAAAAAAAAAAAACCUAAAGAUAUUGUAGACCUUUAUUUUCUUUAAAUCUCCUAAUAAAAACAUUAAACUUUCAAGAAGAUUCCAAACUGA